GCGGACGAUGUCGCGGGCGACAGCUAAUAUAAAAUAACAUUUUCAACAGAUAAUUUGCUAGCACAAGACAAUCAAAUUGGUCCUUUGCGAGUCGGAUACUGGACUACAAAUAACUAAUUAAACGAAAAAAAAUUGCAAGGUUCAACAGUGACGAGCAUGCCGCUAGUGACUGGCACGCGGCGUCGCACGAGCGGCGCGUCGUGUACGUCCAGGCCGAGGUAGUGCGACACGUGGUGCGGGCACAGACGGAUGCCCUCCUGCUGCAGAUGUGUGCCGAGCAGCCGGCACAUCUGGUCGAAGAGCUGGUCUAGUGGAGGUCGUUGCUCCC